AACGUAGGAGACAAACGUUAUCCGGAGUUACUGGGCGUAAAGGGCGUGCAGGUGGUCUGUUAAGUCUGGCGUGAAAGCUCCUGGCUAAACCGGGAGAGGUCGUUGGAUACUGGCGGACUAGAGGACGGUAGAGGCGUGUGGAAUUCCGGGUGUAGUGGUGAAAUGCGUAGAGAUCCGGAGGAACACCAGUGGCGAAGGCGACACGCUGGGCCGUACCUGACACUGAUGCGCGACAGCAUGGGGAGCGAACGGG
rnacentral:rRNA from 1 species